GUUCAAGAUCGCUCUCUCCAAAAACGCCUUACCUGCAUGGGAUCCUACUGGAUCCAGGCCUCUUGCUGGCCUGGCGAGCGCCUCCUCCUACAGCUCUCCAAGACUCCAUCGCGUUUCCAGCCACACGCAGAAACUCCCAAAUCUACUCGGCCUUUCCCCCUUCCCAGAGGCACUUUAUGACAGAGGAGGGGUUUAGCAAGAAGAGCCCAUUGGAGAAGGGAGGAUGGACACACCCCGUUUCUUUUUAAAACUAUCGAAUGGGGUGGCUCGUCUCUUUUUUUUUUUUUUUGAAAAGGUUACUUUCGCGGCACCUCAGCGAGCAAGAGAUACUCAAGUACGGGAGAUAAAUCGCUCAGCAGAGCAAGAGGAGGGAGAUCUCACCAUUGUGUGACAUGCCUAGUGAAAGGCAUUUCUGAAAGCGGCAGUACUGGCACUUGUUUCGGUUCUUUUUCUGAAUUUUACAAUUCCGCUCACAUUUCUCAUACUCUAGCUUCAUGCGGAUUGUUCGACGAAAGAAUCCCUGUUGCCUUCACAUGCAUGUACCCCAUAAUGAAACCCUGAUGCCUUGUCACCACAGACUCUGCAUUCCACAUUUAGACUUCCUGAAUUUGCCUCAGCACAGCCCAUCUGGAGUUGGUCCAACAAAGAAGGAGAAGAACUCUGGGAAAGAUCUAUCAGGAAACAGAAUGGAGAAGAUCCUUGUAACUUCUCCUGAGCAUACAACAGCCUUGAAAAAGUGAAAUGAGAACUUGGCAAGAAUACUAUCUGAAAUCCAGAAUGGAGUCUGUGGGACUACAAACCAUCCACAAAAUUCUUAACUUCCUUGACUUCUGCAUAUAAUUAUACAACCUGGAUUUAUAUUAUUAAACUAAUAUGACAAGAGGCAUCCAGAUGAUCACUAGAUUACUGUUUCAAUGGUGAGAUAAAGCUGUUGUUGUUUUAACCAUUUAAUCAUGUCUGACUCUUGGUGACGUUAUAGGCAUGUGAUGUCCAUUCUACUCUAUCAAGCACAACUUCAAUUGUUGCAUGCUCAGCUUUGUAUCAGAUUUGACAUUAUCAAGCCAACAUGUUUUUUGCUUCCCCUUCUUCUUGUUCCACAAACCACUCCUAGCAUCAUUGCCUUCUUCAAUAAAUUUGCACACAUGACAUGGCCAAAGUAAAUCAGACAUACUCUUAUGAUUUUAAAUAUUAAAGAUAUUAAAGAGAUA